CCCUUCGCUUCCGGUUGGGGGCUCGCGGGCCGCGGCGGCGCUGCCAUGAGCGACGUUGUGGAGCGCACGCUGGGCGCGCUGCCUGCGCUGCUGGGGCAGCACGAGCCGGGCGCGGGGCCGGGGGGUGCGGGCGGCCCCCACAGGCCGUCGGCUUCCUCUCGGCUCGGGAGCCUUAUCCGGAACGUCACGGCGCUCACCUCCAAGCAUGAGGAAGAAAAAUUAAUCCAGCAGGAAAUAACCAGUUUGAAAGCAAUGGUUUCUGCCCCCACGACCCCGCUUAGACUGAUGAAAGAAUGUAUGGUGAGGCUCAUCUAUUGUGAAAUGCUGGGAUAUGAGUCUUCCUUUGGAUAUAUCCAUGCAAUCAAGCUUGCACAGCAAGGAAAUCUUUUGGAGAAAAGAGUUGGUUACUUGGCAGUUUCUUUAUUUCUCCAUGAAAAUCAUGAACUGCUACUUCUGCUUGUGAACACAGUUGUGAAGGACUUACAGAGCACUAAUCUAGUAGAGGUGAGCAUGGCGUUAACCAUUGUCAGCCAGAUCUUUCCACGGGAGAUGAUUCCAGCUGUUCUUCCCUUGAUAGAAGACAAACUCCAGCAUUCUAAGGAAAUUAUCCGAAGAAAAGCUGUUCAGGCUUUAUACAAAUUCUAUCUCAUUGCUCCUAACCAAGUACAGCAUAUUCAUGAUAAGUUCCGGAAAGCCUUAUGUGACAGAGAUGUUGGAGUCAUGGCUGCUUCACUGCAUAUUUAUCUCGAAAUGAUUAAGGAAAGCUCGUCUGGGUAUAAAGACUUGACAGAGAGCUUUGUAAUCAUCCUAAAGCAGGUAGUGGGAGGGAAGCUCCCUAUUGACUUCAAUUAUCACAGCGUGCCAGCACCAUGGUUACAAAUUCAGCUUUUAAGAAUACUGGGGCUGUUAGGAAAAGAUGAUCCAAGGACAAGUGAGCUGAUGUAUGAUGUUUUGGAGGAGUCUCUAAGAAGAGCAGAGAUAAAUCAUAAUAUUACCUAUGCCAUCUUGUUUGAGUGUGUCCAAACAAUUUAUACAAUUUACCCCAAAUCUGAGUUACUUGAAAAGGCUGCCAAGUGCAUUGGAAAAUUUGUUUUGUCACCCCAAAUUAAUUUGAAAUACUUAGGUUUAAAGGCUCUGACCUGUGUUAUUCAGCAGGAUCCUAAUCUGGCACUUGAGCACCAGAUGACAAUUAUUGAGUGUCUGGACCAUCCUGAUCCCAUUAUUAAGAGGGAGACUUUAGAAAUUCUUUAUAGAAUUACAAAUGGACAUAAUGUGAUUGUCAUUGUUCAGAAGAUGCUUGACUACUUAAAAGAGACCAAAGAGGAGUAUGCUAUCAUCACCUUAGCUGGCAAAAUAGCAGAACUAGCUGAGAAGUAUGCUCCUAACAACGAGUGGUUCAUCCAAACCAUGAAUGCAGUGUUUUCAGUUGGAGGCGACGUUUUGUAUCCUGACAUCCCUAACAACUUUCUGAGGCUUUUGGCUGAAGGAUUUGAUGAUGGAAAAGAAGAUAAACAGCUGCGAACGUAUGCAGUGCGGUCCUAUUUAGCGUUACUUGAAGAGGAAAAUGUGUUCUAUCCACAGAAGUUCCUUCAAGUCAUGAGUUGGGUUUUGGGGGAAUAUUCCAGCCUCGCUACAGAUGUUGAUCCAGAAAUUAUUUUGACAAGGCUGCACAACUUACUGAGGAAGACUUUUGUUACCUCUGAAACUAAAGCGUGGAUUAUGGCUGCAGUCACCAAGAUAGCAUCGUGUGCCUCUUUCUCUAAAACAGUUGACAAGUUAAUCCAGGAAUUCAGUAGCUCUCUAGAUACCUGCAUGAGACAACAUACCUUUGAAUUGAAGCAUCUGUGUGAAGACAAAGUAUUGAUGAGGGGCUUGCUUCCCUUUGAUGCUAGUUGUAAUGACAUGGUGGUAGAUGCUUCCUUAUCUUUUCUGGAUGAGUUUGUGGCUGAGGGACUUGGCCGGGGUGCAGCACCAUAUAAGCCCCAUCACCAGAGACAAGAGGAAAAACUUUCUCAGGAAAAAGCUCUGAAUUUUGAGCCUUAUGGAUUGUCCUUUGCUUCAAGCGUGUCCUCGGCUGGUAUGGCUGGCAGACAGUCUCCCACUGGCUUAUCGUUUGGUUCUGAUACGUCUGGUAACAGUGCUGAGAUGGGGCAUAAAGAGACAAAUACUCUGAAACUGGAAGGAGUAAGGAAGCUCUGGGGCAAAGAAGGCUAUCUUCCAAAAAAAGAAAGCAAAGUAGGGAAAGAAGAUGAGCCACAGACUGUGUCGUGUAGCAGCUUAUUAGCAGGACAGGUGGCUGAAUGUCCCGUGUCACAGUCUGAUCAAGUUUCCAGCCUCUCUGAGGAAGAAAAAGAAAAGCAGCAGCUGGCAUCAACACUGUUUGUUGGGCUGGGAUCAAACACUGGUGUCAGCCUGAUGGGGAAAGUGGAUUUAUCUACUCAGAAGUUCAAAAGAAAAUCAAAGAUAGAUGUAACCCAAAGUAAUGAGGAGGCAUUGGAUAUGCAAAAUAGGCCUGCCUCAGAUUUUGGUCCCUUACUUGAUACUGUCCCUGUUACUAAAGAAGAGUGUGAUGGAGAUAAGCGCACAACAUUAAGGAAACCUUCCCUUUGUUCUUCAGAUACUGUGGAAGAAACACUUCAGUCUGUAAAAAAGCAUGGGCUGGAUGACAAGCUUUCAGAUAGUAGACUGUCCCCACUGUCUUUGUUUGCUGAUAGUAAUAUUGAAAUUCUUCAGCCUUCUCAGAGUUCUCAGUGUGAAAAUGCCAAUAAAACUGUGCUGCUCCCUUCCUUAGCAGAAGAACUGGAAGAGCUCCCUCACUCUGAAGUAGCAGAACUUUGUCAGAAUGAUGCCUUAGCCCUGUAUUUAUGUAAGGUGUGGAAAGCUGACUCUUUGCUGCUCGUUGUGUUUGUUUCAAAUAAAAACACGUCUGCACUUAAGGCUGUAAAUGUAGUGUUUGAAAAAGAAGAACAUUUUCAGAUUCUGGAGAGCCCUGCCUGCCAGUUUUCUGUGAUUGAAGCUCAGAGCAUGGGAUGUUGUCAGAGGUGUGUGUGCAUGGACAAAGUCUGUACACAGGGAGUUAUUUCUGGCUUUGUUAAUUACCAGUCAGAAAUGGAAACUCGCCUUGAAUUUUCAGUACCUUUAUCAUUGCUGGAUUUCAUCAGGCCAAUGGAAAUGACUACAGAAGACUUUGGGAAGCUGUGGUUGUCUCUUUCCAAUGAUGUGAAACAGAAUAUUAAAAUUCCAUCCUCUCAGAAUUCCUUCUCAGCAGCUCUGAGUGUACUGCAUCAAAAGCUGAAACUCCACAUUGUUGAUAUUAUAGUUUAAUUAAGAAGUAAUCAGUUUGUUUGGUGCCCUGCAAAUAUCACCGGAAUGCAGCAGUGUGAAGCCUUGUUCAUAGUUGAAGUGGUAUUUUCUGGCCUUAACCUUCACCCCCAGUGCAUGACUGGGCAAAGCAGUGAUGCUGUCCACUUCUGGAGUUAUUAAUGAUGAUAGGUGUGAAAAACGCAGGGAUUUUUUACUUAGGGAGAGUGUGUGUGACUUGGUUUCCUUUCUUUCUUGAAGGAUUAAUGUGAUUUCUGGGAAAGUGAAAUAAGAUGUGUAGAAGUGGGCUAGAAGGAACUGUGAGCAUGUGAUCUAAUUAGCACGAAGACUUUUACUUUCAAGGACAACUGGUGGCUGCUCUGAGUGUAUUGACUUUCUGAACAGGUGGAUUAACAGCAUUUUGGAGAGCCUGAGGUACCAGGAGGUUUCACUGUUUCACUGUGCUGCAGGCAUCUUAGACUUCAGGACAUUUUUGGAGUCAACAGAGAAGUUGUAUGGGAACAGUAUUUUUCCUGUUUUUAUCAGCUUCUCCUGUUGCCAAAGUAUUUUCAAGUAUUUUUAAUGACAGAGUCAAAAUUGGUGACUUUGUUAGGUAUUCCCAGCCCCUCCAGUGAGGAACUAGGAUAAAUUUGUGUAAGGAAUAGCACUGUCUUCAGGGCCUUCUGUGUUUGCAAGUAGCUUGGAAAUGAUAUUGCCUGAUGUUUUUUACAUAUUGGGAAGAUAGAAACUUCCUCCUAGUGAGUGCUGUCCAUCCACCAUCCAGCCCUCAGGCUGUAUUAUCUGUGUGACAAGGAGGUGUCUUUUUCUGGAUCUGAGGUGUGUAUCAUAGCUGGUAAAAAUAGAAGUAGGCCUGCUGACGUCAUGCAGGGUAAGGCUUGCUUUCGCAGUUCUGUUGCUGUGGUAAGAGGAAGUUGUGUUUUACCUCUUGGUCUUUUCAGGGUCAGUCAUUUAAUAUGCUUUUCUAUGAGAGCGUUUCUUCAACACAAAUAAGAUUUCACGUUCAUUGCAAUGUACUGUUCUGUGGUACAUCUGCAACUUCGUUAGGAUGCCAAAUGCAGUCACUCUUGAGGAUUUCUUCAGUAUUAAUGUUUCUGUGUUAUAAAGUUGGCAGUGAUGAAGCAGAGAAUAUCAAGUCCUGCCAUGGUAUGACUAAUAAAAUUAACCUAAGAGGAGUGUUUUACUGGAAUUUGAAUUGUGCCAGGAAUGUCUUCUAACUUAAAUCACAGGUAGCUAAAUAGGAACUAAAUCAAAUAAUGAAACAGUUGCAAGGCACACUUGCUAAAGAACUAGGCCUUAAGCGUGUUACAACUGCUGUGGGCCUUGCACAGGGGUACCUUCUUGGCACCUUCAGGCUCUGACUGAGGAGAGGCUGGGCCCUGAAGGCAGGUCCUCCAUGUGGUUUGCAGGGAGGUUCUUAGGCUGAAAGCCCCUGAGCCAUACUGCAGGAUGGAUGGAGCAGUGUCAUAGUUAGCUCAAGUGCUAACGAUGGAGGAGUCUGAAAAAUGGGGAUUUCCUUUGUCCUGCUUUUCGGUUUUCUUUUAAACACAUGAUUUGUCCAUGUUCCUUCCUCCUACAUUCACAAAACGUGGUCUUCAAAGAGUUGCAAACAUUGAAGAUGACAAGAUUAAACCAAUUCCUUCCUCUUAGGAAGGAACUAAUUUCAAUUUCAGUUUACUUUGGGUGGUAGAACAAAGAAAUCAAGUGAAAGAAAAAAGGGCAGUAAUCACACAUUUUUUAAUCCACGAAUAUGAUAAUACAUCAUAUACUUAAGAUGACCAUUGCCAGUAUUUAGCAAUGUUGUUACACAGCAAGCUACUAGUACAAAAGUAAACAAUGAAUAUACUGGAUAUGCAAGUAUGAUAAAUACUAAAAAACAUCUUCUUUCCUUAAGGCUACUCUGAUUUAUAAAUAAGAUGACAGGUGUUCAGCUGGCUCGUCUAAAAUAUCAGAAUCUGGAACAUCGGCACUUGCAACACACAAAAAUAAAGUCACGUAUACAGGAUAUCCCUUUUGUUUUGGACAUCUUCAGUGUUGAAUAAUCUUUUGCUCUGGCUUAAAAAAAAGAAAUCCAAACAACCAACCAAACUUACAUAUUUGCUACAGGAGAAACAAACACACAGAUGUGACCUGUGCACUGGAACAGGAGUGCUGGAUAUAAUAACUGUGGUUCAGAAGCAUUGGUUGACAGGUACGUGCUCUGAGAAAGGAAGCAGCUAAUGGUGUGUGUAAAUAUGACUCUGCAAAUGUUGAAACUUGCAACCUUGUAAGGCAAAUCUUAACAGACUUCCAGUCCCAAAAGUUCGUAUCUCAUUUCCAUGCUGAGUUGUAAAGGAAUAGUCUGUAUUCACUGCUACUGAAUAUACUCUUCAUGGUUGAAGGAAACAUGACGGAGAAUUACAUCGAUACCAAACUGCUCUAGUAAUGUUCUGUGCUGCCAUUUUCACUUGCUUCGAAAUGCAUUCUUUUGGGAAUGGAUGCUUCUAGCACAGCUGCAGAGAAUACACGUAGUUGAGGUAUGUGUAUUCUCAGCUGUAUGUAGGGAAGUACAGCAAUUAUUCUCAGAGUGAGAAAAGGCAGAAGAACAGAAUUUACCUCUGUAUUUAAGAUUUUAAAUGGGAAAACAAUUUUUUUUGUUGUCGUGAAGUAAUAGGUGACAGUGCUUGGAAGUUCUCCUUAGGGAGGGAUGGCUUUCAAAUAUAUGGGAGUGUCUGCCGUGUCAUGAGAAUGGAGAAACCCCAUGACACUGAAUGUCUUGGCAGACUGAGGUGAGUCUGAGAGGUAAGAGGCAGGGGGCUAGGAGAGAUUUCUGCACAUGCUUCCUUUACGUAGGGUCAGCCAGCAUCAACCCAGCUGUAAGAUUCUGCAAGCUGGCUUAUCUGCUCUGGUUCUCUUCCAUAAUGAUAGCAAAACUUGACAGAAACCAGUAUUCCUUUGCAAAGCAUCUUUUGUUUCAGGACAGCGGAGUGUUUUGCUUAAAAGCAAAAAAAGCAGAACACUGAACCAACGGGUUGUUUACGAAGCUCACCAGUUGGUAGCGUUCUCUUCAAAGGGCUGUGGACAUACUGCACUCAGAUGGCACUGUGAGCAAAGCAGUGCAAGAUUCUUGGAACUGAAACAAUCGGGACCUGUUUCAGGAUAGCAGAGAAGAGGGAAAAUGUUAAUUUUACUUGGUGAAUCGUUUUUACCAUCAGGUUUCACUCAGGACAGUGUCAGAGCAUGCAGUUCAUGUGCAGCACGUGGCUCCUGUUGUUGGACUUGAUCCAAUAAAGGGGAGGGGAGGACCAGGAGCACGACCCAGAGGGCUGGAGCACCUCUCCUACAAUGACAGGCUGAGGGAGCUGGGCUCAGUCCAGAGAAGAGAAGGUUCUGAGGAGACCUGAGAGUGGCCCUCCAGUGUUUAAAGGGAGCUCAUGAACAGGAGGGAAACCAACCUUUAACAUGGGUAGGUAGUGGCUUUAAACUGCAGGAGAGGAGAUCUAGAAUAGCUGUUGGAGAAGUUUUUCAUGGUUAGGCUGUGGAUGCCCCAUCCCUACAGCUGUUCAAGGCUGGGCUGGGUGGGGUUGUGGGCAACCUGAUCUAGUGCUGAUCUGGUGUUAGCAACCCUCCCCAUACAGGGGUUCUUUACUAGAUGAUAUUUGACUUCCCUUCUAAUCCAAGCCAUCCUAUGAUAACUACUGGUAGUGAUUAAUUUGACCUUCCUCUGCUUUCCACCUUGAAGUUGUUUGUUUUUCAUGGACUUUGUAUGGACAAAACAAAGGAAAUUGAAAGAUUUCAUCUGAAA